rnacentral:rRNA from 1 species
GACGAACGCUGGCGGCGUGCUUAACACAUGCAAGUCGAACGGUGAAGCGCCUUCCUUUUUGGUGGGUGUGGAUGAGUGGCGAACGGGUGAGUAACACGUGAGUAACCUGCCUCCUUCUUCUGGAUAACCGCAUGGAAGUGUGGCUAAUACGGGAUAUUCUGGGUCUGUCGCAUGAUGGGUCUGGGAAAGAUAUUGUUUCGGUGGGGGAUGGGCUCGCGGCCUAUCAGCUUGUUGGUGGGGUGAUGGCCUACCAAGGCGGUGACGGGUAGCCGGCCUGAGAGGGUGGACGGUCACACUGGGACUGAGACACGGCCCAGACUCCUACGGGAGGCAGCAGUGGGGAAUAUUGCACAAUGGGCGCAAGCCUGAUGCAGCGACGCCGCGUGAGGGAUGGAGGCCUUCGGGUUGUGAACCUCUUUCGCCAGUGAAGCAGGCCUGCCUCGUCUGUGGGUGGGUUGACGGUAGCUGGAGAAGAAGCGCCGGCUAACUACGUG